GACGAACGCUGGCGGCGUGCUUAACACAUGCAAGUCGAACGAUGAAGCCGGAGCUUGCUCCGGCGGAUUAGUGGCGAACGGGUGAGUAACACGUGAGUAACCUGCCCUUGACUCUGGGAUAAGCGUUGGAAACGACGUCUAAUACCGGAUACGAACCGCGACGGCAUCGUCUGCGGUUGGAAAGAAUUUCGGUCAAGGAUGGACUCGCGGCCUAUCAGCUUGUUGGUGAGGUAAUGGCUCACCAAGGCGACGACGGGUAGCCGGCCUGAGAGGGUGACCGGCCACACUGGAACUGAGACACGGUCCAGACUCCUACGGGAGGCAGCAGUGGGGAAUAUUGCACAAUGGGCGAAAGCCUGAUGCAGCAACGCCGCGUGAGGGAUGACGGCCUUCGGGUUGUAAACCUCUUUUAGCAGGGAAGAAGCGAAAGUGUCGGUACCUGCAGAAAAAGCACCGGCUAACUACGUGCCAGCCGCCGCCGUAA
rnacentral:rRNA from 1 species